rnacentral:rRNA from 1 species
AGGGAAUCUUCCGCAAUGGACGAAAGUCUGAUGGAGCAACGCCGCGUGAACGAUGAAGGCUCUCGGGUCGUAAAGUUCUGUUGUUAGGGACGAACAAGUGCCGUUCGAAUAGGGCGGCGCCUUGACGGUACCUAACGAGAAAGCCACGGCUAACUACGUGCCAGCAGCCGCGGUAAUACGUAGGUGGCAAGCGUUGUCCGGAAUUAUUGGGCGUAAAGCGCGCGCAGGCGGUUAUGUAAGUCUGAGGUUAAAGCCCGGGGCUCAACCUCGGUCCGCAUUGGAAACUGCGUAACUUGAGUGCAGAAGAGGAAAGUGGUAUUCCACGUGUAGCGGUGAAAUGCGUAGAGAUGUGGAGGAACACCAGUGGCGAAGGCGACUUUCUGGUCUGUAACUGACGCUGAGGCGCGAAAGCGUGGGGAGCAAAC